rnacentral:tRNA from 1 species
UGGGGCGUCGCCAAGCGGUAAGGCAGCGGCUUUUGAUGCCGUCAUGCGCAGGUUCGAAUCCUGCCGCCCCAGCCA